CGGGGCAUGACAAGGAGGCGGGACUGGACAUAUAGAGGCGGGGUAUGACAAGGAGGCGGGACUGGACAUACAGAGGCGGGGCAUGACAAGGAGGCGGGACUGGACAUAUAGAGGCAGGGUAUGACAAGGAGACGGGACUGGACAUAGAGGCAGGGUAUGACAAGGAGGUGGGACGGGACAUACAGAGGCGGGGCAUGACAAGGAGGCGGGACUGGACAUAUAGAGGCAGGGUAUGACAAGGAGGCGAGAAUGGACAUACAGAGGCGGGGUAUGACAAGGAGGUGGGACGGGACAUAAAGAGGCGGGGCAUGACAAGGAGGCGGGACUGGACAUAGAGAGGCGGGGCAUGACAAGGAGGCGGGACUGGACAUAGAGAGGCGGGGCAUGACAAGGAGGUGGAACUGGACAUAUAGGGCAGGGCAUGACAAGGAGGCGGGACUGGACAUACAGAAGCGGG